AACGAACGUUAGCGGCGCGCUUAACACAUGCAAGUCGAGCGCGAAAGGCCUUCGGGCUGAGUAGAGCGGCGGACGGGUGAGUAACGCGUAGGAAUCUACCUGGUAGUGGGGGACAACUUGGGGAAACUCAAGCUAAUACCGCAUACGCCCUAUGGGGGAAAGUGGGGGACCUUCGGGCCUCACGCUAUCAGAUGAGCCUGCGUAGGAUUAGCUAGUUGGUGAGGUAAAGGCUCACCAAGGCGACGAUCCUUAGCUGGUCUGAGAGGAUGAUCAGCCACACUGGGACUGAGACACGGCCCAGACUCCUACGGGAGGCAGCAGUGGGGAAUAUUGCGCAAUGGGGGCAACCCUGACGCAGCCAUGCCGCGUGUGUGAAGAAGG
rnacentral:rRNA from 1 species